rnacentral:rRNA from 1 species
UACGUAGGGGGCAAGCGUUGUCCGGAAUCAUUGGGCGUAAAGAGCGUGUAGGCGGGCAGGUAAGUCCGUGGUGAAAUCUCUGAGCUUAACUCAGAAACUGCCAUGGAUACUAUUUGUCUUGAAUGUUGUGGAGGUAAGCGGAAUAUGUCAUGUAGCGGUGAAAUGCUUAGAUAUGACAUAGAACACCAAUUGCGAAGGCAGCUUACUACACAAAUAUUGACGCUGAGGCACGAAAGCGUGGGGAUCAAACAGG